AGUGAACGCUGGCGGUAGGCCUAACACAUGCAAGUCGAACGGCAGCACAGUAAGAGCUUGCUCUUACGGGUGGCGAGUGGCGGACGGGUGAGGAAUACAUCGGAAUCUACUUUUUCGUGGGGGAUAACGUAGGGAGACUUACUCUAAUACCGCAUACGACCUACGGGGGAAAGCAGGGGAUCUUCUGACCUUGCGCGAUUGAAUGAGCCGAUGUCGGAUUAGCUAGUUGGCGGGGUAAAGGCCCACCAAGGCGACGAUCCGUAGCUGGUCUGAGAGGAUGAUCAGCCACACUGGAACGGAGACACGGUCCAGACUCCUACGGGAGGAAGCAGUGGGGAAUAUUGGACAAUGGGCGCAAGCCUGAUCCAGCCAUACCGCGUGGGUGACGAAGGCCUUCCGGUUGUAAAGCCCUUUUGUUGGGAAAGAAAAGCAGCAGGUUAAUACCCCGCUGUUCUGACGGUACCCAAAGAAUAAGCACCGGCUAACUUCGUG
rnacentral:rRNA from 1 species